AUUGAACGCUGGCGGCAGGCCUAACACAUGCAAGUCGAGCGGAUGAAGGGAGCUUGCUCCUGGAUUCAGCGGCGGACGGGUGAGUAAUGCCUAGGAAUCUGCCUGGUAGUGGGGGAUAACGUCCGGAAACGGGCGCUAAUACCGCAUACGUCCUGAGGGAGAAAGUGGGGGAUCUUCGGACCUCACGCUAUCAGAUGAGCCUAGGUCGGAUUAGCUAGUUGGUGGGGUAAAGGCCUACCAAGGCGACGAUCCGUAACUGGUCUGAGAGGAUGAUCAGUCACACUGGAACUGAGACACGGUCCAGACUCCUACGGGAGGCAGCAGUGGGGAAUAUUGGACAAUGGGCGAAAGCCUGAUCCAGCCAUGCCGCGUGUGUGAAGAAGGUCUUCGGAUUGUAAAGCACUUUAAGUUGGGAGGAAGGGCAGUAAGUUAAUACCUUGCUGUUUUGACGUUACCAACAGAAUAAGCAGCGGCUAACUUCGU
rnacentral:rRNA from 1 species